rnacentral:rRNA from 1 species
AAAGGAAUUGACGGGGGCCCGCACAAGCGGCGGAGCAUGCGGAUUAAUUCGAUGCAACGCGAAGAACCUUACCUGGGUUUGACAUGUCCGCAAAACCCACAGAGAUGUGGGGUCCUUCGGGGGCGGUCACAGGUGGUGCAUGGCUGUCGUCAGCUCGUGUCGUGAGAUGUUGGGUUAAGUCCCGCAACGAGCGCAACCCUCGUUCGAUGUUGCCAGCGCGUUAUGGCGGGGACUCAUCGAAGACUGCCGGGGUCAACUCGGAGGAAGGUGGGGAUGACGUCAAGUCAUCAUGCCCCUUAUGUCCAGGGCUUCACGCAUGCUACAAUGGCCGGUACAAUGGGCUGCGAUACCGUGAGGUGGAGCGAAUCCCAAAAAGCCGGUCUCAGUUCGGAUCGGGGUCUGCAACUCGACCCCGUGAAGUCGGAGUCGCUAGUAAUCGCAGAUCAGCAACGCUGCGGUGAAUACGUUCCCGGGCCUUGUACACACCGCCCGU